rnacentral:rRNA from 1 species
AUUGGACUGCGGCCGAUCAGGCUGUUGGUGAGGUAAUGGCCCACCAUACCUAUAACCGGUACGGGCUCUGAGAGGAGAAGCCCGGAGAUGGGCACUGAGACAAGGGCCCAGGCCCUAUGGGGCGCAGCAGGCGCGAAACCUUUGCAAUAGGCGAAAGCCUGACAAGGUUACUCUGAGUGAUUUCCGCUAAGGGGAUCUUUUGACACCUCUAAAAAUGGUGUAGAAUAAGGGGUGGGCAAGUCUGGUGUCAGCCGCCGCGGUAAUACCAGCACCCCGAGUGGUCGGGACGAUUAUUGGGCCUAAAGCAUCCGUAGCCGGUUUUACAAGUCUUCCGUUAAAUCCAGCCGCUCAACGGAUGGGCUGCGGAGGAUACUGUAGAACUAGGAGGCGGGAGAGGCAAGCGGUACUUAGUGGGUAGGGGUAAAAUCCACUGAUCCAUUGAAGA